rnacentral:rRNA from 1 species
GAUGAACGCUGACAGAAUGCUUAACACAUGCAAGUCUUUGGCGAAGCUGUGCUUGCACAGCCUAGCCAAGGCGGACGGGUGAGUAACGCGUAAGGAACUUGCCCUGCAGUCAGGGAUAACAGACGGAAACGACUGAUAAGACCUGGUAAAGUCAGGCGGACUCAUGUCCAGCCUGAUGAAAAGUGAUGCUGCAGGAGAGCCUUGCGUCCUAUUAGCUUGUUGGUGGGGUAACGGCCCACCAAGGCGAUGAUAGGUAGCCGGCCUGAGAGGGUGGACGGCCACAAGGGGACUGAGAUACGGCCCUUACUCCUACGGGAGGCAGCAGUGGGGAAUAUUGGACAAUGGGGGCAACCCUGAUCCAGCAAUUCUGUGUGCACGAUGAAGGUUUUCGGAUUGUAAAGUGCUUUCAGCAGGGAAGAAAAAAAUGACGGUACCUGCAGAAGAAGCGACGGCCAAAUACGUG